rnacentral:rRNA from 1 species
UAACACAUGCAAGUCGAGGGGCAGCACAAGGAGCAAUCUGAGGUGGCGACCGGCGCACGGGUGAGUAACACGUAUGCAACCUGCCUGUAAGCGGGGAAUAACCCGUUGAAAGACGGACUAAUACCGCAUAAUACUAAAUUACUGCAUGGUAAUUUAUUUAAACAUUUAUGGCUUACAGAUGGGCAUGCGCAUGAUUAGCUAGUUGGAGAGGUAACGGCUCCCCAAGGCAACGAUCAUUAGGGGUUCUGAGAGGAAGGUCCCCCACACUGGUACUGAGACACGGACCAGACUCCUACGGGAGGCAGCAGUGAGGAAUAUUGGUCAAUGGACGAGAGUCUGAACCAGCCAAGUCGCGUGCAGGAAGAAUGUCCUAUGGAUUGUAAACUGCUUUUGCAGGGGAAUAAAGUGCAUCACGUGUGAUGUUUUGUAUGUACUCUGCGAAUAAGGAUCGGCUAACUCCGUGCCAGCAGCUGC